rnacentral:rRNA from 1 species
UACGAAGGGGGCUAGCGUUGCUCGGAAUCACUGGGCGUAAAGCGCACGUAGGCGGAUUGUUAAGUCAGGGGUGAAAUCCUGGAGCUCAACUCCAGAACUGCCUUUGAUACUGGCGAUCUCGAGUCCGGGAGAGGUGAGUGGAACUGCGAGUGUAGAGGUGAAAUUCGUAGAUAUUCGCAAGAACACCAGUGGCGAAGGCGGCUCACUGGCCCGGUACUGACGCUGAGGUGCGAAAGCGUGGGGAGCAAC